rnacentral:rRNA from 1 species
GACGAACGCUUGCGGCGUGCUUAACACAUGCAAGUCGAACGGAAAGGCCCUGCUUGCAGGGUACUCGAGUGGCGAACGGGUGAGUAACACGUGGGUGAUCUGCCCUGCACUUCGGGAUAAGCCUGGGAAACUGGGUCUAAUACCGGAUAGGAGCCAUUUUUAGUGUGAUGGUUGGAAAGUUUUUUCGGUGUAGGAUGAGCUCGCGGCCUAUCAGCUUGUUGGUGGGGUAAUGGCCUACCAAGGCGGCGACGGGUAGCCGGCCUGAGAGGGUGGACGGCCACAUUGGGACUGAGAUACGGACCAGACUCCUACGGGAGGCAGCAGUGGGGAAUAUUGCACAAUGGGAGCAAGCCUGAUGCAGCGACGCCGCGUGGGGGAUGACGGCCUUCGGGUUGUAAACUCCUUUCGCUAGGGACGAAGCUUUUUGUGACGGUACCUAGAUAAGAAGCACCGGCUAACUACGUG